CGGGACACGUGGUAUCCUGUCUGAAUAUGGGGGGACCAUCCUCCAAGGCUAAAUACUCCUGACUGACCGAUAGUGAACCAGUACCGUGAGGGAAAGGCGAAAAGAACCCCGGCGAGGGGAGUGAAAAAGAACCUGAAACCGUGUACGUACAAGCAGUGGGAGCACAGAGCAAUCUGUGUGACUGCGUACCUUUUGUAUAAUGGGUCAGCGACUUAUAUUCUGUAGCAAGGUUAACCGAAUAGGGGAGCCGAAGGGAAACCGAGUCUUAACUGGGCGUUAAGUUGCAGGGUAUAGACCCGAAACCCGGUGAUCUAGCCAUGGGCAGGUUGAAGGUUGGGUAACACUAACUGGAGGACCGAACCGACUAAUGUUGAAAAAUUAGCGGAUGACUUGUGGCUGGGGGUGAAAGGCCAAUCAAACCGGGAGAUAGCUGGUUCUCCCCGAAAGCUAUUUAGGUAGCGCCUCGUGAAUUCAUCUCCGGGGGUAGAGCACUGUUUCGGCAAGGGGGUCAUCCCGACUUACCAACCCGAUGCAAACUGCGAAUACCGGAGAAUGUUAUCACGGGAGACACACGGCGGGUGCUAACGUCCGUCGUGAAGAGGGAAACAACCCAGACCGCCAGCUAAGGUCCCAAAGUCAUGGUUAAGUGGGAAACGAUGUGGGAAGGCCCAGACAGCCAGGAUGUUGGCUUAGAAGCAGCCAUCAUUUAAAGAAAGCGUAAUAGCUCACUGGUCGAGUCGGCCUGCGCGGAAGAUGUAACGGGGCUAAACCAUGCACCGAAGCUGCGGCAGCGACGCUGAUGCGUUGUUGGGUAGGGGAGCGUUCUGUAAGCCUGUGAAGGUGUGCUGUGAGGCAUGCUGGAGGUAUCAGAAGUGCGAAUGCUGACAUAAGUAACGAUAAAGCGGGUGAAAAGCCCGCUCGCCGGAAGACCAAGGGUUCCUGUCCAACGUUAAUCGGGGCAGGGUGAGUCGACCCCUAAGGCGAGGCCGAAAGGCGUAGUCGAUGGGAAACAGGUUAAUAUUCCUGUACUUGGUGUUACUGCGAAGGGGGGACGGAGAAGGCUAUGUUGGCCGGGCGACGGUUGUCCCGGUUUAAGCGUGUAGGCUGGUUUUCCAGGCAAAUCCGGAAAAUCAAGGCUGAGGCGUGAUGACGAGGCACUACGGUGCUGAAGCAACAAAUGCCCUGCUUCCAGGAAAAGCCUCUAAGCAUCAGGUAACAUCAAAUCGUACCCCAAACCGACACAGGUGGUCAGGUAGAGAAUACCAAGGCGCUUGAGAGAACUCGGGUGAAGGAACUAGGCAAAAUGGUGCCGUAACUUCGGGAGAAGGCACGCUGAUAUGUAGGUGAAGUCCCUCGCGGAUGGAGCUGAAAUCAGUCGAAGAUACCAGCUGGCUGCAACUGUUUAUUAAAAACACAGCACUGUGCAAACACGAAAGUGGACGUAUACGGUGUGACGCCUGCCCGGUGCCGGAAGGUUAAUUGAUGGGGUCAGCGCAAGCGAAGCUCUUGAUCGAAGCCCCGGUAAACGGCGGCCGUAACUAUAACGGUCCUAAGGUAGCGAAAUUCCUUGUCGGGUAAGUUCCGACCUGCACGAAUGGCGUAAUGAUGGCCAGGCUGUCUCCACCCGAGACUCAGUGAAAUUGAACUCGCUGUGAAGAUGCAGUGUACCCGCGGCAAGACGGAAAGACCCCGUGAACCUUUACUAUAGCUUGACACUGAACAUUGAGCCUUGAUGUGUAGGAUAGGUGGGAGGCUUUGAAGUGUGGACGCCAGUCUGCAUGGAGCCGACCUUGAAAUACCACCCUUUAAUGUUUGAUGUUCUAACGUUGACCCGUAAUCCGGGUUGCGGACAGUGUCUGGUGGGUAGUUUGACUGGGGCGGUCUCCUCCUAAAGAGUAACGGAGGAGCACGAAGGUUGGCUAAUCCUGGUCGGACAUCAGGAGGUUAGUGCAAUGGCAUAAGCCAGCUUGACUGCGAGCGUGACGGCGCGAGCAGGUGCGAAAGCAGGUCAUAGUGAUCCGGUGGUUCUGAAUGGAAGGGCCAUCGCUCAACGGAUAAAAGGUACUCCGGGGAUAACAGGCUGAUACCGCCCAAGAGUUCAUAUCGACGGCGGUGUUUGGCACCUCGAUGUCGGCUCAUCACAUCCUGGGGCUGAAGUAGGUCCCAAGGGUAUGGCUGUUCGCCAUUUAAAGUGGUACGCGAGCUGGGUUUAGAACGUCGUGAGACAGUUCGGUCCCUAUCUGCCGUGGGCGCUGGAGAACUGAGGGGGGCUGCUCCUAGUACGAGAGGACCGGAGUGGACGCAUCACUGGUGUUCGGGUUGUCAUGCCAAUGGCACUGCCCGGUAGCUAAAUGCGGAAGAGAUAAGUGCUGAAAGCAUCUAAGCACGAAACUUGCCCCGAGAUGAGUUCUCCCUGACUCCUUGAGAGUCCUGAAGGAACGUUGAAGACGACGACGUUGAUAGGCCGGGUGUGUAAGCGCAGCGAUGCGUUGAGCUAACCGGUACUAAUGAACCGUGAGGCUUAACCUU
rnacentral:rRNA from 1 species